rnacentral:lncRNA from 1 species
AAAAGAUCCCACGCGCCGACAUUUUUCCACAAUGGACGCAAAAUAUGGACAAUUAACACGUUCCGGUCAAAGUUAACCGGAAGUCGAAACAAUAAAAUCUGUUUCUGCACACGCGGGAUUGAAAAUAAACGGAAAAGAUUAAAAUGCGAAAGAUUUGACACUUAAAGUCGUGAUGAAUCUUAAGUUUGAAGAGUCGAAAGCUGGACACUCCGUUUUUAAAGCCGAAAACUGCAAAUUUGUGCGCGUUUAAGCCACGUCUCCGCACAAAAAUGAAGAAUCGUUAGGAGAAGAGAAGAAAUAAAGCUUUAAAAUAUUAAUCUUUCG